UACGUAGGGCGCAAGCGUUGUCCGGAAUUAUUGGGCGUAAAGAGCUCGUAGGCGGUUUGUCGCGUCUGCUGUGAAAUCCCGAGGCUCAACUUCGGGCUUGCAUUCGAUACGGGCAGACUAGAGUGCUGUAGGGGAGACUGGAAUUCCUGGUGUAGCGGUGAAAUGCGCAGAUAUCAGGAGGAACACCGGUGGCGAAGGCGGGUCUCUGGGCAGUAACUGACGCUGAGGAGCGAAAGCGUGGGGAGCGAACAGG
rnacentral:rRNA from 1 species